AUUUAACCUUAUUACAUAUUUACCGGUCUGAUCCCGGAAGCUAAGCAGGGUCUUUGUCAGGAUCAGUACUUGGAUGGGAGACCACCUUGGAAGACCAGCGGGUUGCGUC
rnacentral:rRNA from 12 species